AGGGGCUUCUUUCUCUUCGACUCCGGCGGCUCUGCUCGCGAUCCAGUGCAAAGAAGACAGCUGUUGUACUCCAUUGAAGUUGAUUUGGAGCUUCGAUUUCUGGCUAACAUUACGAUCUAGGGUUUUUGGUUGUGGCGGUGGGUAUUAUUUUUGUUAUAUUCGUUCAAUUUUCUUGGAUUUUGUACAUCACGUUCUGUGAAUUGUCGUCGGCUUCUGUCGGAGUUCUUUCUGGUGAAGGGUUUCGCUGUUCAUUGAGCCAGCAAGUUAUAACUGGUAAAUCACUGUGUUUUGAGGUUGCGUUUUGUUAGUUUUGUUAUUAGCAAAUGGGUGGCUUUGUAUUUGGGGUUAGGGUUUUUUUGUUCAAUUAUGUAGCUGUUGUAGGCAGUUUUACUUUGGAGGUGUAAAAUUUGAAUAUUGGACCUUAGCAGGCAAUAAAUCUUAAUUUAUUUGAACCAGUUAUUGGCUUUGAAGGUGAGCUAUUUUUUCUUUUAUUUUUUCAUUAGGGGGGGGUUCAAUUAUUCGAGAGAUUUGGCUUUUACGUUUAAAUUUUGAUAUGUUUUAUAUGUUAUAUAGAACCUUUUUUCCCCUAGUGCUCUUUGUGAAAGUAGGAAUUUAUUAUAGUAAUCUAGUUAAAGGGGGCUUGAAUGGUGAAAUGCUUUUGUCCAAACUCAGUGGAGCCUUCAUGUGUUGUUCAACCCACACAGCUAGAUAAGGCUAUUUGAAAGUAUGAGGAGGUAAUGUCAUUCCCAUGGUUUGUUUAUGCAGAGUUGGGUAUUAAGUGAACUGAUUUGCCCCAGCGAAUAGAAGGAACUAGAUAAGUGCUGGAAUUAAUAUGAUGGCGAAGAAUGAUAAAUUCCAUGGAGGAUUUCAUCGAAAUUCAUUUGACACAGUGGGUGAUUUGGAGGAUUCUGGUAGCUCAGGACGGAUUGA
rnacentral:misc_RNA from 1 species